GACGAACGCUGGCGGCGUGCUUAACACAUGCAAGUCGAACGCUGAAGCUCAGCUUUUGUUGGGUGGAUGAGUGGCGAACGGGUGAGUAACACGUGAGUAACCUGCCCCCUUCUUUGGGAUAACGCCCGGAAACGGGUGCUAAUACUGGAUAUUCACUGGUCUUCGCAUGGGGGUUGGUGGAAAGGGUUUUUCUGGUGGGGGAUGGGCUCGCGGCCUAUCAGCUUGUUGGUGGGGUGAUGGCCUACCAAGGCUUUGACGGGUAGCCGGCCUGAGAGGGUGACCGGUCACAUUGGGACUGAGAUACGGCCGAGACUCCUACGGGAGGCAGCAGUGGGGAAUAUUGCACAAUGGGCGCAAGCCUGAUGCAGCGACGCCGCGUGAGGGAUGGAGGCCUUCGGGUUGUGAACCUCUUUCGCUCAUGGUCAAGCCGCAACAAUGGUUGUGGUGAGGGUAGUGGGUAAAGAAGCGCCGGCUAACUACGUG
rnacentral:rRNA from 1 species